rnacentral:rRNA from 1 species
CGGGUGAGUAACACGUGAGCAAUCUGCCCCUGACUCUGGGAUAAGCGCUGGAAACGGCGUCUAAUACUGGAUACGAACAGCGACCGCAUGGUCAGUUGUUGGAAAGAAUUUCGGUCAGGGAUGAGCUCGCGGCCUAUCAGCUUGUUGGUGAGGUAAUGGCUCACCAAGGCGUCGACGGGUAGCCGGCCUGAGAGGGUGACCGGCCACACUGGGACUGAGACACGGCCCAGACUCCUACGGGAGGCAGCAGUGGGGAAUAUUGCACAAUGGGCGCAAGCCUGAUGCAGCAACGCCGCGUGAGGGACGACGGCCUUCGGGUUGUAAACCUCUUUUAGCAGGGAAGAAGCGAGAGUGACGGUACCUGCAGAAAAAGCGCCGGCUAACUACGUGCCAGCAGCCGCGGUAAUACGUAGGGCGCAAGCGUUAUCCGGAAUUAUUGGGCGUAAAGAGCUCGUAGGCGGUUUGUCGCGUCUGCUGUGAAAUCCCGAGGCUCAACCUCGGGUCUGCAGUGGGUACGGGCAGACUAGAGUGCGGUAGGGGAGAUUGGAAUUCCUGGUGUAGCGGUGGAAUGCGCAGAUAUCAGGAGGAACACCGAUGGCGAAGGCAGAUCUCUGGGCCGUAACUGACGCUGAGGAGC